ensembl:lncRNA
UGUUUUCAUAGCAACAGCAGCAUGGCUAAACGCAAGUACGACAGCGAGUACAUUAAAUAUGGAUUUUCCUACAUCGAAGACAAAGGAGUCCAAAAGCACGCAUCUGAAUAAACUUUUCGAGCGGUUUAGCGACUACUUUCCCGAUAAACAACCCGAGGACGACUGGGUGCGCGACCCGUUUGGAAUAAACAUGGAAAGCAUCACGUUGCCUAGCAGCGAUUAAUGUCAGCUGGUGGAGCUAUCAUGUGACCGCACUCUCAGAAAGAAAUUCACAGAGGUCCCUCUCUAUCUCCCCACACAUCAACCACUAGAACACAUCUCCAAAGU